UUUUGACAACAAUUACAAGUGAAAAUGACAUAACUUGGUAAACUUGGGCACGAUAUUGUUACUUUUCAAUUACUUGGAGAUAAUUGGCUUGGACAUUUCCAUGUAGUUUCCAAAUUAAUAGAAAAAUCUAUUGUCCAUGCAUGUAUAGUCAUAGAUGAUUAUUUUUUCUAAAAAAAUUCAGGGGGUACCCGUGUGCCCACUGAUCCUUAAGAUUCUUCAGUCAUAUAUAUAUAUAUGUAUAUGUAUAUGUAUAUAUGGGUUUGAUCUUCGUCCUAGUUUAACUGCACCACUGGAAUCUCUAUCUCUAGCCACACCCAUACUGGACUAGUCGCUGAGAUUUUUUCUUUUCAAACAACUAUUAUGGCCUCUGUAACAUCAUCUCAGUCACAUGGCGGCAUCCAUAAGAAUUUCAAGCAAAUCACCCUUAACCGUAAUAAUAUAUAUAUGUAUAUAAUGUUGUUCUUAUAUAUGUUAUGAUUAUAUGUUUCACUGAUUUAUAUCCAACUCAGUGAUAUAAUAAUUGUUAGGGCUGUUGCAUGAAAUUCUAAGAACAGACACCAA